rnacentral:rRNA from 1 species
AUGGCCGCAGUAAUUUGACUGUGCAAAGGUAGCAUAAUCAAUAGUUUUUUAAUUAAAAGCUUGUAUGAAUGGUUGGACGAAAUAAAAUCUGUCUUUAUUUAAUUUAAAUUAGAAUUUAAUUUUUAAGUUAAAAAGCUUAAAUUUUUUUAAAAGACGAGAAGACCCUAUAGAUCUUUAUUUUAAUAAUUAUUUAUUUAAUUAAGAUUUAUUUAUUUUAAAUUUAUGUUAAAAUUUUAUUGGGGUAAUAAAAAGAUUAAUUUAAUUCUUUUUAAUUUUAUUUAUUUAUAUAUAUAAUUUAUGAUCCAUUAAUAUUGAUUAUAAGAUUAAGUUACCUUAGGGAUAACAGCGUAAUUUUUUUAGAAAGUUCAUAUUGAUAAAAAAGUUUGCGACCUCGAUGUUGGAUUAAAGAUUAAUUUAGGUGUAGAAGUUUAAAUAUUUGGUCUGUUCGACCAUUGAAUCUUUACAUGAUCUGAGUUUAGACCGGCGUAAGCCAGGUCGGUUUCUAUCUUUAUAAAAUUAUAAUAUUUUAGUACGAAAGGACCAAAUAUUUAUUAUAUUAAUUUUUAUUUUGAUUAUUAUUAUUAUUUUGGCAGAUUAGUGCGAUGAAUUUAGAAUUCUUUUAUGUAAUAUUUUACAAAUAAUACUUGUUUUUUUUUGAUAUUAUUUUUAUAUUUAUUAGGGUAAUUUUAUUGGUUAUUUGUGU